rnacentral:rRNA from 1 species
GUGCCAGCCGCCGCGGUACUACGGAGGGGGGUAGCGUUGUUCGGAAUUACUGGGCGUAAAGCGCACGUAGGCGGAUCAGAAAGUUGGGGGUGAAAUCCCGGGGCUCAACCCCGGAACUGCCUCCAAAACUACUGGUCUAGAGUUCGAGAGAGGUGAGUGGAAUUCCGAGUGUAGAGGUGAAAUUCGUAGAUAUUCGGAGGAACACCAGUGGCGAAGGCGGCUCACUGGCUCGAUACUGACGCUGAGGUGCGAAAGUGUGGGGAGCAAACAGGAUUAGAUACCUGGUAGUCC